AUGAACGCUGGCGGCGUGCCUAAUACAUGCAAGUCGAACGGAGAAUGUAGCAAUACGUUCUUAGUGGCGAAUGGGUGCGUAACACGUAGAUGACCUACCCCAAAGUUUGGAAUAACAGCUCGAAAGAGCUGCUAAUACCGGAUGUGGUCUUGGAAAUUAGAAUACCAAGUCUAAAGCUGUAAAGCGCUUUGGGAGGGGUCUGCGGUCCAUCAGCUAGUUGGUAGGGUAACGGCCUACCAAGGCUACGACGGAUAGGGGACCUGAGAGGGUGACCCCCCACAUUGACACUGAAACACGGGUCAGACGCCUACGGGUGGCAGCAGUAAGGAAUAUUGCUCAAUGGGCGAAAGCCUGAAGCAGCAACGCCGCGUGAGCGAUGAAGGCCUUCGGGUCGUAAAGCUCUUUUCGGGGAGAUGAGGAAGGACAGUAUCCCCGGAAUAAGGUACGGCUAACUACGU
rnacentral:rRNA from 1 species